UUGCAAUCCUAAUUUUUUUUAUCCCAAAUCCGUACCUAGGGUCAAAUGUUCCUACUGGAGACAUGUUGCCUACAGGGCCUUUAGCGACAUGCGUCCCAUUAUGACAAGGCAUAUUUGCCAUUGGCUGGGUUGUCCUUGGCUCAGUCAGAUUUGGGUUUGUUUUAUUUAUAUGAAACACGGUGGGGUUACUCUGAUUCGGAAUUGGAAGCAUCCUUGAGAUAGAGGAAGUCAUCGGUGGAAGGAUAUUCAUAGCCCUAGCAGAACCUGGCUGUCGAUUUCCCGAGAGUUCAGUGUUGAUUCAGACUCAUUUGUUUUCCCGGUGUUUAAUUCUAUUAAAGAUUUCUUUAUUUAACUCAUUUCCUUCUGAAGAUUUUGUAUUUCGUUUUCUAUUAGACGAUGUCCUAAGACAUUAUCCCGGAAUGAGAAUCCUGAUGCAUCCUGAAUUUGACGCGACUAUCCCGAUCCACCUUGAAGGAAAACGGGCCCUAUGGAAUUAGACACCGGUGAACUCACAUUUAUGGUCUGGGAAAGGUCCCGAAUUAUCCUAUCUCCACUGGGAUUAGCUUCGGCCAUGUCGGGGAGGAUUAAAAGUCGAGGCGGUUUUAAAGCCCUCAAAAUGGUUUUCAAUGAUGUUGAUGCUAACAAUUGAUACGUAGAUACUACUACAACCUUUUUUGUGACUGGAUAUGCUCUACCAACGGCAGUAUCCCUCAAUCCCACUGUAAUAGAUACAUCAACCUUAGAUACGUUAUGCUUAUAUCUGUAUAUGUAUGUAGAAUUGAAUCACUACAACAAGUACUAAGCUGAUACUAUAUUUUUUAAAUCAUCAUACGUUUUGCUACUACCUCGUGUAAACCUAUAACACUGUAGGACAAAUAAUAUGAUGGGUUGUACUCGUCAUGACCUUCCUUAACCUAAUGCAUCGUUGGAAAAAAAUUGAAUAAAAAUAAAUACAAAAUAAUAAAAA